GAUGACGCUGGCGGCGUGCCUAAUACAUGCAAGUCGAGCGAGCGGCGGACGGGUGAGUAAUGUCUGGGAAACUGCCCGAUGGAGGGGGGUAACUACUGGAAACGGUAGCUAAUACCGCAUACCAUCGGAUGUGCCCCGAUGGGAUUAGCUUGUAGGUGAGGUAACGGCUCACCUAGGCGACGAUCCCUAUCUGGUCUGAGAGGAUGACCAGCCACACUGGAACUGAGACACGGUCCAGACUCCUACGGGAGGCAGCAGUGGGGAAGAUUGCACAAUGGGCGCAAGCCUGAUGCAGCCAUGCCGCGUGUAUGAAGAAGGCCUUCGGGUUGUAAAGUACUUUCAGCGGGGAGGCGUUACCCGCAGAAGAAGCACCGGCUAACUCCGUGCCAGCAGCCGCGGUAAUUU
rnacentral:rRNA from 1 species